GCUGAGGAGGAAGCACGGAGUUGGGGAGUGUACUCUCUUUUCUCUUCUUGGACAACUCCCUGAUUUUGCGUUGGUGUGGCUCUUACAAGGGGCCGGAAUGCUUCUGGGAGCGAAUCCACCGCCCCCUGGGCCUGACGGUGCUGCUAUUGAAUGCCAGGCAGAGCCCACUCGUCACCAUGGUAUGCACCAGAAUUGCGGGCGAUGAAGCAGACUGGGAGACGAUUGGAGAGCAGGUGGAGAAAAUCACAGGAUGAAUUUGACCGAACACACUUACAUGUUCAUUAUCAAGCCUACGCUGUGGCGGUGGGGGCAGUGAAGAGGCAAUACUUCUCCACUUUCAUUGCCUCCUCACAGUGCCAUCCAGUGGAGCUUUUUUGAAUGGUGCGUGGCCUAACACAUGGUGGCCAAAACAAAGAAGUGGUGCCACCCUCAACUGCCUGUUGUGACAACUUUGACCAGCACUUUAAGGAGAAAAUUGCUCAGAUUCGCCACAAGCUGAACUCCACAAUUUAUAUGAUUCCAGAACUGGAGAUGUCUAGAGCACCAUCUGGUCCAUCAUUGUUGGAUGAGUUUUAGUUAUUGUGGACUGAGGAAGUGGACAAGAUGCUUGGGAUGGUAUGCCCAACCACCUGCUUACUCAACUCUUGCCCUUUUUGGCUACUUACAAAAGCCAGUCAUGGGAUUGGUCCCGGGGUCCAAAAGGUCAUCAACGUCUCACUAAAG